GGAUAACACUGACGCUCAUGUACGAAAGCGUGGGUAGCAACCAGGAUUAGAUACCCUGGUAGUCCACGCCCUAAACGAUGUCAACUGGUUGUUGGGGGAGUGAAAUCCCUUAGUAACGAAGCUAACGCGUGAAGUUGACCGCCUGGGGAGUACGGUCGCAAGAUUAAAACUCAAAGGAAUUGACGGGGACCCGCACAAGCGGUGGAUGAUGUGGAUUAAUUCGAUGCAACGCGAAAAACCUUACCUACCCUUGACAUGUCCGGAAUCCUGAAGAGAUUUGGGAGUGCUCGAAAGAGAACCGGAACACAGGUGCUGCAUGGCUGUCGUCAGCUCGUGUCGUGAGAUGUUGGGUUAAGUCCCGCAACGAGCGCAACCCUUAUCAUUAGUUGCUACGCAAGGGCACUCUAAUGAGACUGCCGGUGACAAACCGGAGGAAGGUGGGGAUGACGUCAAGUCCUCAUGGCCCUUAUGGGUAGGGCUUCACACGUCAUACAAUGGUCGGUACAGAGGGUUGCCAAGCCGCGAGGUGGAGCCAAUCCCAGAAAGCCGAUCGUAGUCCGGAUUGUUCUCUGCAACUCGAGAGCAUGAAGUCGGAAUCGCUAGUAAUCGCGGAUCAGCAUGUCGCGGUGAAUACGUUCCCGGGUCUUGUACACACCGCCCGUCACACCAUGGGAGUGGAAUCUGGCAGAAGUAGGUAGCCUAACCGCAAGGGGGGCGCUUACCACGCUGGGUUUCAUGACUGGGGUGAAGUCGUAACAAGGUAACCGUA
rnacentral:rRNA from 1 species